rnacentral:rRNA from 1 species
GAUGAACGCUAGCGGCAGGCCUAAUACAUGCAAGUCGGACGGGAUCCAUUGAUAGCUUGCUAUCAAUGGUGAGAGUGGCGCACGGGUGCGUAACGCGUGAGCAACCUUCCUCCAUCAGGGGGAUAGCCUCUCGAAAGAUAGAUUAACACCGCAUAAUAUCAACAGUUCGCAUGUUCAGUUGAUUAAAUAUUUAUAGGAUGGAGAUGGGCUCGCGUGACAUUAGCUAGUUGGUAGGGUAACGGCUUACCAAGGCGAGGAUGUCUAGGGGCUCUGAGAGGAGAAUCCCCCACACUGGUACUGAGACACGGACCAGACGCCUACGGGAGGCAGCAGUAAGGAACAUAGGUCAAUGGGCGGAAGCCUGAACCAGCCAUGCCGCGUGCAGGAUGACUGCCCUAUGGGUUGUAAACUGCUUUUGUCAAGGAAUAAACCUAAAUACGAGUAUUUAGCUGAAUGUACUGGAAGAAUAAGGAUCGGCUAACUCCGU